UGUGCCAGCAGCCGCGGUAAUACAGAGGGUGCAAGCGUUAAUCGGAAUUACUGGGCGUAAAGCGAGCGUAGGUGGCUUGAUAAGUCAGAUGUGAAAUCCCCGGGCUUAACCUGGGAACGGCAUCUGAUACUGUUAGGCUAGAGUAGGUGAGAGGAAGGUAGAAUUCCAGGUGUAGCGGUGAAAUGCGUAGAGAUCUGGAGGAAUACCGAUGGCGAAGGCAGCCUUCUGGCAUCAUACUGACACUGAGGUUCGAAAGCGUGGGUAGCAAACAGGAUUAGAUACCCUGGUAGUCCACGCAGUAAACGAUGUCUACUAGUCGUUGGGUCCCUUGAGGACUUAGUGACGCAGCUAACGCAAUAAGUAGACCGCCUGGGGAGUACGCCCGCAAGGUUAAAACUCAAAUGAAUUGACGGGGGCCCGCACAAGCGGUGGAGCAUGUGGUUUAAUUCGAUGCAACGCGAAGAACCUCACCUGGUCUUGACAUAUCUAGAAUCCUGCAGAGAUGCGGGAGUGCCUUCGGGAAUUAGAAUACAGGUGCUGCAUGGCUGUCGUCAGCUCGUGUCGUGAGAUGUUGGGUUAAGUCCCCGCAACGAGCGCAACCCUCGUCCUUAGUUACCAGCGGGUUAAGCCGGGAACUCUAAGGAUACUGCCAGUGACAAACUGGAGGAAGGCGGGGACGACGUCAAGUCAUCAUGGCCCUUACGACCAGGGCUACACACGUGCUACAAUGGUAGGUACAGAGGGCAGCUACACAGCGAUGUGAUGCGAAUCUCAAAAAGCCUAUCGUAGUCCAGAUUGGAGUCUGCAACUCGACUCCAUGAAGUAGGAAUCGCUAGUAAUCGCGGACCAGAAUGCCGCGGUGAAUACGUUCCCGGGCCUUGUACACACCGCCCGUCACACCAUGGGAGUUGAUUGCACCAGAAGUGGAUAGCCUAACCUUCGGGAAGGCGUUCACCACGGUGUGGUUGAUGACUGGGGUGAAGUCGUAACAAGGUAACCGAAUCACUAGUGCGACCGCU
rnacentral:rRNA from 1 species